CCCUAUGGGGUCUGGCACUUCAUCACAAUGCGUGCGACAUACGAGUAUUGACAGCACCAUGCCGGUCUUUUAAUGUAGCCCAAGCGACACUCGAAAACCGCCUAUUACUGAAUCCCUCCCACCAGAAAAGGAUCCGCCAUGAAAUACCUUGUUGGUAUACUAUUCGCCCUGGCAUGCAUGCCUGUCACCGCCUGGGCACAGAACGCACCAAACCUGCAAACAUCUGAAGCCCGUGCCAGCUAUAGCCUUGGCCACAAAAUCGGCAGCGAUUUCAAGAUGCAAGGGAUCAUCGUCGAUCCGGACAUGCUGCUGCAAGGCUUGAAAGACGCACAGACCGACAAGACUCCGGCUCUGAACGAACAACAGCGUCGGGAAGCUCUGAUGGAACUGCAGAAAUCCACUCUUGCUCAUCAGCAACUGCUGAAAAAUGAAUUGGCGGGAGGGC
rnacentral:rRNA from 1 species